rnacentral:rRNA from 1 species
AGAGUUUGAUCCUGGCUCAGGAUGAACGCUAGCUACAGGCUUAACACAUGCAAGUCGAGGGGCAGCAUCAUCAAAGCUUGCUUUGAUGGAUGGCGACCGGCGCACGGGUGAGUAACACGUAUCCAACCUGCCGACAACACUGGGAUAGCCUUUCGAAAGAAAGAUUAAUACCGGAUGGCAUAAUUAUUCCGCAUGGGAUAAUUAUUAAAGAAUUUCGGUUGUCGAUGGGGAUGCGUUCCAUUAGGCAGUUGGCGGGGUAACGGCCCACCAAACCUACGAUGGAUAGGGGUUCUGAGAGGAAGGUCCCCCACAUUGGAACUGAGACACGGUCCAAACUCCUACGGGAGGCAGCAGUGAGGAAUAUUGGUCAAUGGACGAGAGUCUGAACCAGCCAAGUAGCGUGAAGGAUGACUGCCCUAUGGGUUGUAAACUUCUUUUAUACGGGAAUAAAGUGAGCCACGUGUGGCUUUUUGUAUGUACCGUAUGAAUAAGGAUCGGCUAACUCCGUGCCAGCAGCCGCGGUAAUACGGAGGAUCCGAGCGUUAUCCGGAUUUAUUGGGUUUAAAGGGAGCGUAGGCGGGUUGUUAAGUCAGUUGUGAAAGUUUGCGGCUCAACCGUAAAAUUGCAGUUGAUACUGGCGACCUUGAGUGCAACAGAGGUAGGCGGAAUUCGUGGUGUAGCGGUGAAA